GUCACACACUGCGGUGUCGCGAGGGACACACGCUGAGACGCACCGUUGCUGGAGCCGAGCCCGCGUGCACCGUCCCCGCGGUAGGCCGGCAGUCCGUCCCUAGAUGGAUGGCGGGGACCCCCGCCAACCAAGAGCCCGUCCCGUUGGGCUCACCGACAGACAUCUCUGUGUGUUUUUAAGUCCAGAUGCACAAAGUGGCUACUCUUCGGGCGACCAGAGAUCACAAAAUGCCCUGCCUCAUAUUCUUCCUCUGUUCAGCUUUCACGGAGAGCAAGCCCGCAAAAAAAACAGCGUUGGAAUAGCCCGUCGGGAAGAUCUGCAUCUGUUCUCACGAUGUUCCUAUUGCUCGAGAUAUUUUGGAACUCCUUUGAAACGUUUUUGAAAGUUGAGGGCCCCUUGCGAGCUGUGAAGAGCAGAGUUACCGAUGUCACCACGGAAUAUUUGUGCAAGUACCGAGCAAAACCGUCCGCACCGAAGAGGCACAUAAAACAUCCCGUGAAAACGUUUGCCGACGGCAGGGUGAAAUGCCCACAUCAGCCUCUGUCCACAUCUCACCCGCCAGUCGGUGUGGCUCUGAUUGACCCUGGUUAAUGAAAACUGGGGUCAGUUUCAGGCUGAAUUGCUCGCGCCCCAGGGAUUGCCCAGUGCAUCUCUCUCUCCCUUUUUAAACAAAGAACCAGUAACUUCA